CUCAAUUCCGGUUGAUUCUGCCGGAGACUACUGCUAUGGGGGUCGGAUUAAGCCAUGCUAGCGGAGGGCAGUUCGGCUGCCCCGCGCAUAGCUCAGUAACACGUGGUCAAUCUACCCUUAGGACUGGGACAACCCCGGGAAACUGGGGAUAAUCCCGGAUAGGCGGGGGUUCUGGAAAGAGUCCCUCGCCAAAACGUUACGGCGCCUAAGGAUGAGACUGCGGCCUAUUAGGUUGUUGGUGGGGUAAAGGCCCACCAAGCCAAAGAUGGGGACGGGCCCUGAGAGGGGAAGCCCGGAGAUGGGGACUGAGACAAGGCCCCAGGCCCUACGGGGCGCAGCAGGUGCGAAAAUUCCGCAAUGCGUGCAAGCGCGACGGAGUGACCCCCAGUGCCGAUGGUCUAACGAUCGUCGGCUUUUCUGGAGUGUAAAAAGCUCUGGGUAAUAAGGGCCGGGUAAGACUGGUGCCAGCCGCCGCGGUAACACCAGCGGCUCAAGUGGUAGUCGAUUUUAUUGGGUCUAAAGCGUCCGUAGCCGGAUCGUCAAGUCCCUUGUGAAAUCGGGCGGCUUAACCGCUCGGCUUGCAAGAGAAACUGACGUUCUUGGGGUCGGCAGGCGCCGAGGGUACUCCGGAGGUAGCGGUGAAAUGCUAUAAUCUUCGGGGGACCGCCGGUGGCGAAAGCGCUCGGCGGGGCCGAACCCGACGGUGAGGGACGAAGGCCAGGGGAGCGAACCGGAUUAGAUACCCGGGUAGUCCUGGCUGUAAAGUAUGUGGGCCAGGUGCCAGACGUUCCUCGAGAGCGCUUGGUGCCGAAGGGAAGCCGUUAAGCCCACCACCUGGGGAGUACGGUCGCAAGACUGAAACUUAAAGAAAUUGGCGGGGGAGCACCACAAGGGGUGGAGCCUGCGGUUUAAUUGGAUUCAACGCCGGACAUCUCACCGGGGGCGACGGCAGAGUGAAGGCCAAGUUGACGACUUUGCCGGACUCGCCGAGAGGUGGUGCAUGGCCGCCGUCAGCUCGUAUCGUGAGACGUCCUGUCAAGUCAGGUAACGAGCGAGACCCUUAUCCUUAGUUGCCAGCGGAUCCCUCUGGGAUGCCGGGCACUCUAAGGAGACCGCUGUCGAUAAGGCAGAGGAAGGAGAGGGCGACGGUAGGUCCGUAUGCCCCGAAUCCCCCGGGCAACACGCGGGCUACAAUGCGCGGGACAGAGGGCUGCGACCCCGAGAGGGGAAGCCGAUCCCUAAACCUGCGCCUAGUUCGGAUCGAGGGCUGCAACUCGCCCUCGUGAAGCUGGAAUCCCUAGUAAUCGCGUGUCACUAUCGCGCGGUGAAUACGUCCCUGCUCCUUGCACACACCGCCCGUCAAGCCAUCCGAGUGGGAUUUGGAUGAGGCUUACUCGACAUGAGUGGGUCAAAUCCGGGUUCUGCAAGGAGGGCUAAGUCGUAACAAGGUAGCUGUAGGGGAAUCUGCGGCUCGAUCACCUCCUU
rnacentral:rRNA from 1 species